UACGUAGGGUGCGAGCGUUAAUCGGAAUUACUGGGCGUAAAGCGUGCGCAGGCGGUUCGCCAAGUCAGGUGUGAAAUCCCCGGGCUUAACCUGGGAAUUGCGCUUGAAACUAGCGGGCUUGAGUGUGGCAGAGGGGGGUGGAAUUCCACGUGUAGCAGUGAAAUGCGCAGAGAUGUGGAGGAACACCGAUGGCGAAGGCAGCCCCCUGGGUCAACACUGACGCUCAUGCACGAAAGCAUGGGGAGCAAACAGG
rnacentral:rRNA from 1 species